AAGUCGUAACAAGGUUUCCGUAGGUGAACCUGCGGAAGGAUCAUUAAAAAAGGAUACCGGGCAACCGGUAGACCCCACCCGUGUCUCUCUACUCUUGUUGCUUUGGCAGGCCGUGGCCUCCACCGCGGGCUCUGCCUGCGCGUGCCUGCCAGAGGACCAAACUCUGAAUUUUAGUGAUGUCUGAGUACUAUAUAAUAGUUAAAACUUUCAACAACGGAUCUCUUGGUUCUGGCAUCGAUGAAGAACGCAGCGAAAUGCGAUAAGUAAUGUGAAUUGCAGAAUUCAGUGAAUCAUCGAAUCUUUGAACCGCACAUUGCGCCCGGUGGUAUUCCGCCGGGCAUGCCUGUUCGAGCGUCAUUAUAACCACUCAAGCCUGGCUUGGUAUUGGGGUUCGCGGUUCCGCGGCCCCUAAAAUCAGUGGCGGUGCCGGUAGGCUCUAAGCGUAGUAAAUCUCCUCGCUAUAGGGUCCCUCCGGUUGCCUGCCAAAACCCCCCAUUUUUUCAGGUUGACCUCGGAUCAGGUAGGGAUACCCGCUGAACUUAA
rnacentral:rRNA from 1 species